GUUGAACGCUGGCGGAAUGCUUUACACAUGCAAGUCGAACGGCAGCACGGACUUCGGUCUGGUGGAGAGUGGCGAACGGGUGAGUAAUGUAUCGGAAUGUGUCCAGUCGUGGGGGAUAACGUAGUGAAAAUUACGCUAAUACCGCAUACGAUCUAUGGAUGAAAGCGGGGGAUUGCAAGACCUCGCGCGAUUGGAGCGGCCGAUAUCAGAUUAGGUAGUUGGUGGGGUAAAGGCACACCAAGCCAACGAUCUGUAGCUGGUCUGAGAGGACGACCAGCCACACUGGAACUGAGACACGGUCCAGACUCCUACGGGAGGCAGCAGUGGGGAAUUUUGGACAAUGGGCGAAAGCCUGAUCCAGCCAUUCCGCGUGCAGGAUGAAGGCCCUCGGGUUGUAAACUGCUUUUGUACAGAACGAAAAGGUUUCUACUAAUACUAGGAGCUCAUGACGGUACUGUAAGAAUAAGCACCGGCUAACUACGUGCCAGCCGCCGCCGUAA
rnacentral:rRNA from 1 species